UACGAAGGUGGCAAGCGUUGUUCGGAUUUACUGGGCGUAAAGGGUGCGUAGGCGGUUCGGUAAGACCGAUGGGAAAGCCCGGGGCUUAACCCCGGAAGGUCAUCGGUGACUGCCGGGCUAGAGGACGGGAGAGGAGCGCGGAAUUCCCGGUGUAGCGGUGAAAUGCGUAGAGAUCGGGAGGAAGGCCGGUGGCGAAGGCGGCGCUCUGGAACGUUCCUGACGCUGAGGCACGAAAGCGUGGGGAGCAAACAGG
rnacentral:misc_RNA from 1 species